rnacentral:rRNA from 1 species
UACGGAGGGUGCAAGCGUUAUCCGGAUUCACUGGGUUUAAAGGGUGUGUAGGCGGGCAGUUAAGUCAGUGGUGAAAUCUCCAGGCUCAACCUGGAAACUGCCAUUGAUACUAUCUGUCUUGAAUAUCGUUGAGGUGGGCAGAAUAUAUCAUGUAGCGGUGAAAUGCAUAGAUAUGAUAUAGAAUACCGAUUGCGAAGGCAGCUCACUAAGCGUGUAUUGACGCUGAGGCACGAAAGCGUGGGGAUCAAACAGG